GGGCAUGUUGCCUAUCACUACAAGAAAAUAUAAGCAUCGAUGCUAAGGCGAUAACUCAAACUCUAAUGGACUAGUUCUGCCGUAAGUAACCUUAUCAGCCAAGUUACACUCUGGUUCAUAUAUACCAUCGGUCUAACAACCCGCCAGUAUCAUAUUUUUCUAUUGAUGCAUACCACACCAUUAAUAUAAGACCCACCUCAUCAUCU
rnacentral:lncRNA from 1 species